AUGGACUGCGCAUUCUAUAUGUACAUGAACCUAAAGCACUACUCCAAUGAUGGAACAGCACCAACCUUAAAGCCAGAACAAGUACCAGAGUUGAGGAAAAAAAUUCUAUAUCAAUUAAUCAGUCAACACAAAGGGAAUACCAAACUGUCACUAAUCAAGUGUACAACAGAUAUGCUGAAGUAUGAAGUAGAUAUGGAAGACAAAGAAAUGCAACAGGCAGAAUGUUGCGUACUAGAAGAGUUUCCGCCAACUCCCGAGCCAAAAGAACAUAUUAUGCGCGCGACAACCACACAAGAGCAUGACGUUAUUGAUAUAUCCAGUAAACGCAAAGAGAUUAUGGAUGUCAGCAGCCACGCCGUCACCCAACAAUCUUGCACAGACCACGAACAAAAUGAUCCACCAAUAGAACCAGAUCAACCACCACCAGACGACAAGAUACCAUACCAUGCCGAAGAGGAAACGGACGAGCAAAAUAUCAACAGCAAUAUCACAAGCACAGAGCAAUUGGAACAAACAGGCACUGAUUUAAAAGAGGAUGACAGAAGCAAUGACAUACCAAAUACACAACAACAGGUUUCCGAGCAGAAGAAACAGCCUAUUCUUCUUCAAGAAGAAACAGGCUCGACAAGCAAUCAGCAAGGCACCUCCAGCACCAUCUCUUUAGACUUCCUAAAACCAAAAACAAUGGAAAAGCACGAAGAAGUUGAUGAAUUUCUUUCAAGCCUUAACCCACUACAACUAGACGUGUACAACGACUAUGUAAAGAUGGGCUAUAAGUUCGAUGUAAUCAAAACAUGUCUGAACGACUAUGAAAGCUAUGAAUUCAACAAAGAUGCCAAGCCGUAUCUGACAAUCUUGCAGCAAGAAUCACGAGAAGAUUCAAUGCCUCAAUCAUCUGAGAACAUCUCAGACAAGAAAAUCUCGGUCAAGAAAAUGCCAGUAAAGCCUUCAAGAAGGCUCCUUGGAGAAAUCAUGAUUCCUACUUUUGUCCCAGGAGAUUUCAAAUUCAAGAACAUAGCCAGAGCACUCCAUGAAUACCUAUUCAGCAAAGAAGGACAGGACGAAUGCAGAGAUCUAAACGUAUAUAUUAGCUCGAUGCGACCCGAUUGGAUUACAGGAAAACAAAUAAUGGAACAGCUACAGAAAGAAGAUGGUGGACAGAUGGAGGGCUCUAUCGCAAACGCAUUGUUCAAUGAAUGGACAGCGCAACAACAAUACAACACAACCGAUAAAGCCAUAUUUCCCGCAGAAUUUGCAAACAUCGUGCUCGGUGUUAAAAUUGGAGAAGAAGGAGGACUAGCAGAAUUCAAUGAGGAAGAAGCAUUGAAACAGUUUGCACCCCUUGUAAUAGGGAAGGAACUUUUAAAGAAAAAGCUGAUUAUGAUACCUCACAACACAGCUAAACACUACACACUGUACGUGCUCAACAAGUACACGAGUUCCAUCGACAUAUUUGACUCACUGAAUUACAGACACGGAGACGGAAAAAAAUACAUGGAAAACACACCAUAA
rnacentral:rRNA from 1 species